rnacentral:rRNA from 1 species
GCUGCAACUCGCCUGCAUGAAGUCGGAAUUGCUAGUAAUCGCGGAUCAGCAUGCCGCGGUGAAUACGUUCUCGGGCCUUGUACACACCGCCCGUCACACCAUGGGAGUCGGUAACACCCGAAGUCUGUAGCCUGACGCAAGAGGGCGCAGCCGAAGGUGGGAUUGAUGACUGGGGUGAAGUCGUAACAAGGUACC